rnacentral:lncRNA from 1 species
GUCAUUUUUCAAAAGGAAUUCUUGAAAACAGAUUUUUUGAACAAUAUAGAAAUGUUUAAAAACUUGCUUUUCAGUUUCCCCAUGAAAUACAGAACAAGACAAACCAUGGCCAUCAAAAAAAGAAAAAAACAACCUGCCCAGCAUAAUGACUGUUAAGGGAACAAAAGAAAAAAAGAAAAAAUUAAACAUUCUCAUCAUGGAAAGGAAGAAGCAAAGGGGAGAGGGGGAAAGAUGUAAAAAGGAUGUGAAAGAAAACACUCCUAGGAAGUAAGAUUAGGCACUGGGAGUUGUUUCUACCCUCACUUGGCUGCUUUCACUGGAUAGGGAAUUAUUUAUCAUACUGACAUCUUGAUGUUCUGUGACCAAGAGUUUUGAAGUGGGA